GAACAAAAGUCUUCAGCUAUCAUGGUUUCCUUGUAUAUGGCGAGCAGAUAAGUACCUGCACAUUCUUGGCAUUUGCAAAACUGAUGGUCUGUUUGUUAUGGGAGGGCUUUCUAGCUUCAAAUAGAUCCAUCAGGGGCACUCCCAAAAGGAAUUCUUUCUCUUUCUUUGUAUGGAGAUGUUAUGGCAAUACCAAGUUUAGUAUUAGAGUCUACAAUGAACCAUUUUAAAAACACAGGGAAUAGCAUUGAGGGCUGAGGGUGUAAUAUGUUUUCUUGAGGCUUCGAACUCUCUAACAUGCUGCAACAAAGAUUAUUUGGGUUGGCUAAGGGGAUUCUCAUGUAUGAGGUAACACUCCUCUUUCUGAUGAAAAAUUUGUGAGUCAGGAAAACUUUAUCAGACUUCAAAGACAAUCUAAAGGGGUAAUGAUAUGCCAUUCUGCAUAAUCACAUUCACAAGCAUCAGGAGUACUUCUUUUCAGAAUCAUCUUCAGACCGUCCCGAUAAAGGCACCACUUUUGUAUUCAGGUUGGCUAUGGGGAUUCUUAUGCAUGAGAUAACAUUCCUCUUUCAGAUGAAAAAUUUAUGAUUCAGGAAAACUUUAACCAACUUCAAAGACAAUUUCAAGCAGCAAUGCCAUUUAAUUGUGAAGCUUGUCAGAUGAUUAAAUAGUCAAGUAGCCUUGAAGCAAUUGCUUGAUAUGUCAUCCAAUUAGAGCGAGUUGGUGUAAUAAUAGGCAAUUUUCUAUUUUUAUUUCACCCGAUAUACAGUGAUUUGAAGCUGGUCCUUGGUAUUACUUGUUUAUCUGUGGUUAACCAACCGGAAUAUUUUUAGGUGGUUGAUAUCUUAGUUGCGGAGUUAGUUCUUAUUCUCUAAUGAAUAUAUGUGUAUGUUGAACAAUAUUAAUUAAGGGAUUACAUUCUUUUAUGUUGUGAAUUCUAAAAUGCAACUCUGCUUUCUUAUGCAGUUGUUUGAGUGCGAAAAAUCUGAUGAAUGGUCUGAAGACAUACUUUGAAGUUUUCUUGUACAUGAAAAGCUAUGUGCAUCAGCAUAAGCUGUUGUCUCAAUCUGAUGGGGCUAAUACUCUAGUUCAAGGCUAUUACAAAGUUGAUGGAAUAGAUGCCAUGGGGAGGUAGAGUUCAGUGCAGGGGUACACAUGGAAUCUUGAUUCAUGUCAUUCAAACAGGAAGUGUUCUGAGAGGAAGGAUCAACCGUGUUGGCAGUACUGUUCAUAUGGAUGGCAAUUUGCUAGUGAAAGAGGGUGUCCGUGCCUGAAAAGGCAUGGCACAUUUUGAGGAACCUUUGCUAUGUUAUCUGAGAUUUAGGUCUUUACUUGGCCUAGUUCAAGUGAUCUUCUGCAGUUGCAUUAGGAAAAGCAAUUCUAAGUCUAAUUUGACAGUCUACUAUCACAAUACUGAGCCCAUGGAAGUAUACAUGAGGUUGACAGUGAUAGAUUUUCUCGAGGCUUAGAGCUCUUCAAGAAUCUGCAUGAAAGACAAUUCUGGCUGACAAUAGGGAUUCUCGUGCAUGAGGUAAAGAAAAGAGCUAUGGAUAAGCCAAUACAAGGAAAGCUAUUGGUUGGAUUUUAAGUCAUGCUUUGCAGAAACAGAAUUUGUAUCUAUUCAGAUGACAAAUGCUGCUAAUGAAGCUUGUCAGCCCUUUUAAGGAAACAAAACCUGGUCUCCUCAAGAAGCUUUCAUGUAUUGAAGGAUUGUAAGUUAGCACAUCUGAAAAACUUGAGUUGUAAACCUCCUACCAGUCCAUCCGAAGCCUCCCUAUAGGAAGCACAUCUUCUGAUCUAAAGGGAAGGUGCUGUAACAUGAGCUGCUGCCCCAACAUUGACUGGUGCAAGUACUACCAGAUUCCCUACUUUGAGAUUGUUAAUAUUCUAACUGGAAGCUAGGUUGUAAAAAUUUGCUCAAAUUCUUGGAAAAUUAGUCAUCUACGCCUAUGUUAAGGAUGUCUCAAUGCAGUAUACUCCAAUCAUUAUGCUGUCUUCAGUUGUGU